CGGCCUGAGAGGGUGGUCGGCCACACUGGGACUGAGACACUGCCCAGACUCCUACGGGAGGCUGCAGUCGAGAAUCUUUCGCAAUGCCCGAAAGGGUGACGAAGCGACGCCGCGUGUGGGAAGAAGGCCUUCGGGUUGUAAACCACUGUCGGGAGUUAGGAAGUGUAGGGGUGUUAAUAGCGCCUCUACUUGACUAAGGCUCCGGAGGAAGCCACGGCUAACUCUGUGCCAGCAGCCGCGGUAAUACAGAGGCGGCAAGCGUUGUUCGGAAUUAUUGGGCGUAAAGAGCACGUAGGCGGCCUAGUAAGUCAGUUGUGAAAGCCUUCUGCUUAACGGAAGAACAGCAUCUGAUACUGCGAGGCUAGAGUGCGGGAGGGGAGAGUGGAACUUCUGGUGGAGCGGUGAAAUGCGUAGAUAUCAGAAGGAACACCGGCGGCGAAAGCGACUCUCUGGCCCGUAACUGACGCUGAGUGUGCGAAAGCUAGGGGAGCAAACGGGAUUAGAUACCCCGGUAGUCCUAGCCGUAAACGAUGGGCACUAAGUAGAGGGGUUUUGAUUAUCUCUCUGCCGGAGCUAACGCAUUAAGUGCCCCGCCUGGGGAGUACGGCCGCAAGGCUAAAACUCAAAAGAAUUGACGGGGGCUCGCACAAGCGGUGGAGCAUGUGGCUUAAUUCGAUGCAACGCGAAGAACCUUACCGGGGUUUGACAUGGUAGAAGUAGGAGCCUGAAAGGGUGACGAACGGUAUCCAGUCCGUGACUAUCACAGGUGUUGCAUGGCUGUCGUCAGCUCGUGUCGUGAGACGUUGGGUUAAGUCCCCUAACGAGCGAAACCCUUGUCUUUAGUUGCCAACAGGUCAUGCUGGGCACUCUAAAGAGACUGCCGUCGUCAAGACGGAGGAAGGUGGGGAUGACGUCCAGUCAUCC
rnacentral:rRNA from 1 species